rnacentral:rRNA from 1 species
UACGAAGGGGGCUAGCGUUGCUCGGAAUCACUGGGCGUAAAGCGCACGUAGGCGGAUCGUUAAGUCAGGGGUGAAAUCCUGGAGCUCAACUCCAGAACUGCCUUUGAUACUGGCGACCUUGAGUUCGGGAGAGGUGAGUGGAACUGCGAGUGUAGAGGUGAAAUUCGUAGAUAUUCGCAAGAACACCAGUGGCGAAGGCGGCUCACUGGCCCGAUACUGACGCUGAUGCACGAAAGCGUGGGGAGCAAACAGG